GGAGUACAAGAACCUGUCUUUUGAGUUUUAACUAAAAAAGCUAAGACCCAGUUCUUAAAUAUCUUAUUUAAUAACUGGGUUUUAGCUUUUUUAGUUAAAAGUUAAGAGAUGUGUUCUUAUAUUCU
rfam:Brassica napus, WGS project CCCW01000000 data, contig: 8774